rnacentral:lncRNA from 1 species
CGGUCUAAAGAAAAAAUAAACAUACUAAAGUUGCACAAACACAACCCAACAAAAAUAGAAAUUGACACGAUCCUUAUUUAUAAGUACGUAGAUUGACAGCUACAUAGAAUGCGCAAAGGCACAACUGUUUUUUCACAAACAAUAACACACGUGAAAACAAGGAUUACUGUCUGGCACACAACAACACAAAGAAAACUGACUAAACGUGAGAACAGUCCUGUGUUUAUUUUCAGCAUGAGCAAUCUACCAACACAUACUUUGAACAAUUUCUUAUUUUCCCAUAAUGGGAAAUAUGUUAAAGAGUGUGGAUAGCUUUCCUCUUCUGAGCACAGUAUCAACUAUAGCAUGGUUUAAAAGGCCAGAAAGUUAGUCAGAAUCUUCAGGAGGUGAAGGUUUUGGGAUGUAUGGAAUCAGAGGGCUUCCAUGCUCAAUAGGAUCAGGAUAUAAAGAGGCCUUUGUUCUAGAACCUGGUGGUGGAUCAACGCCAUUGUAAUCAGUCAGAAUCACUUUACUCAUAUCACCAUUUUCCUGAAAUUUCAAAUGAAAUAAACUGUCAUCUCAUUGCAAGAGUUUAGUUAUGCAUCUUGUAAGUGUAUAAAAUUUUACAUAAUCAAGUAAAAUUCAUCUUAGUUUUACUUGCAAGGUAGUAAUAUUAUAUUGAAAUUUACCAUGUAACACCCCAUUUUAAUUAGGUUUUUAUUUCUUUAACCAGAAAGGUCAGGAAGGAUUAUAAAGCAGUCAUACCUUCAGUUUCCUGCUUACUGCAAUCUGUGUUGCUUUGUCACCAUGGUUAGUCCCUAUGAAAUCUGAGAGGAACUAAAUCAUCAAUGCCUUUCACUAGCUAAUAUAUGAGCACUAACAUAUUAAUACAAUCAAUUUAUCUUUCAGAGUAAAUCUAUAAGUACUUUCAGGUUUUUAAGGGAGUAUCUUUACAGACAUUUUUAAUUAAGAAUAUGUCAAAUCAUGAAUUACUCAUACAAUUCAAGGACUCAUCCUUGGAGCAAGUACGUACCAUGUUGUCGGAAGUUUCAACUUAGUGGAUCAUGGUGGUAGUGAGAAAACAAUCAACAGAAUAAUAACAAAAACAGUUUGUCUACUACGCAAAAUCGUACACAAGAAAAGAAAAAUCAGAUUUUUUCCAAGAGUUUGUGGAUCGGAAUCACUAAUGCAUGCAUACCCUUGUCUCUUCAAAGAUAACCAAAGUAAAAAAGGAAAAAGAAAAAAUUAUGAAAAGGAAAUAAACAUAUGUAGUUCAAACACAAAAUUCAAAACACUCCAUGUGUCUUUUAAUAAUUUUCUCAAAUAGUAAAAGAAAGAAGAUGUGUGUACCAGGUGACCCAGAUGCAGUAGCAGGAAUUAAGAAGUUAAAGAACAUCAAAGUUGCUCCAACCACCAAGAGCAAAGCAAAGAAGCCAGAAACCUUCAUGUUUACCAACACAAUAAACCUGAAGUAGACAAUGACCUAGAAGUGUAGUACUGAUAUAAAUAAUAUAGCCCUUAUUAGAAGUCGACCCUCAAUAACGUAGAGGAGGUUCUAAAACAAAACCAAUAUUUUAUUAUCAAACAGUUUUGUGAAGUUGCUUUUCUGUGAUGAUAACGUGCUUGGGGGCUCAAAUUCCACAACAAGCAUUAGUGACUGCAUUAAAGACUCAUCACUGGUCACUCAUUAGCCUCUUCAUUCCCCAAUGCUCUAUUUACAGCUACAGCAAUGGCAAUAAAAUCUCAGCAGGCACCGCAGAGUGAAUGAUGGCAAUGAAACUUGCCACAUUAUCACCGUGGUAUCUCAAUCAAUUCUCUACACACUUUCCAAUCUCUGCAGUUAUUUCUUUUUUAAGAAAAAAAAGGUUUUUUCUUACACAAUCAUAGGAUCACCGUACCUUCUUCAUCACAACCAUCUUCAUCUUUGCAUCUUUAACAAAGAAAUCAUCUGCAAAGGGAGAAGAAUCACACACCCAUAUUCAUUCAUCACCUCCAAUAUUGGCACAGUUCGCCCCACUCCAAGAUAUUGUUUUUCCUAUCAUAAUAUUUGUUGUUCAAAUGUAUGUGAAUUAAAUUUAUUUAUUUAUUAAUUUUUUACAUAAAAAUGCUUAGCUCGUAAUUUAAGUAUAUUACUAAAUAACAUAAAAUAUUUAUCCUUUUCUUUUCAUUUGAAAAUUUCGUUUUGUUUUGUUAAAACAAUUUUUACUAUCUCUUAAUAGUUUGAUUAAUUUGAUAUACGAAAAAGUUUAUUUAGAUCUUUAACAUAUUUUUCAUCUUAUAAUAUCUUUCAACUAUAAGAAAAUCACGUAUUUACAAUGGAAUAAUCUCUAGCCAAUCUCUCGUUCAUCUCUAGGUCCCAUGUCGCCUCGUUCAAAAAGUUUUUCACCGUCGACGAAACGCCAAGUGGUUCAUCUCUAGGUAAAUUUGAUUAUUGAAGCAUCACUGAAUAUAACUUUAUUGAAGUUGAAAGCAUUACUGAAGCAUCACUGAAUAUAUCUAGGCUUGCUAGAUAUAUACACCAUAUUCGUCAGUUCUAAAGUAUAUAUCGAUUCCAUUUGGAACAAUCUACCUCAAUUUCAAUGAGAUACAAUGCAACUUUAUAACAGAGUAAAUUCACAUCACAUAAGAAGGAUAUAUAAAUAUAUAUAGAUAGAUAGAUAGAUAUAGAUAUAAGAGAAAAAAUAAACAUACUCCAGUUGCACUAACACAAACUAAUAUAAAUAGAAAUUUGCAUGAUCCUUAGUUAUAAGUACGUACAUUGGCCACUGCAUAGGAUGAUGCUCAAAGGCAAAUGUUUUUUCACAACACUAGCACACAGAAUAUAAGCAAAAGAACGCACAAAAAACUGACUAAACAACGUGUGAGAAUGAGUCCUAUAUUCUUUCAGCAUGAGAAAUGCUACUCACACAUACUUUGAACAAUUUCUUAUUUUCCCAUGAAAAGAAAUAUGUUCAAAGAAUGUGAACAGCGUUCCUCUUUUGAGCAUAGCAUCUAUUAGCAUACUUGAAGAGAUCAGAAAGUUAGUCAGAAUCUCCAGGUAUAGGAUGAUCAGGAGGUGAAGGUUUUGGGAUGUAUGGAAUCAGAGGGCUUCCAUGCUGAAUAGGUCCAGGAUAUAAAGAGGCCUUUGUUCUAGAAUUUGGUGGUGGAUCAGCUGAAUUGUAAUCAGUCAGAGUUACUUGACUCAUGUCACCAUUGUUGUUGAUACCAUUUUCCUGAAAUUUCAAAGGGAAUGCUUAGAAU